CCAAUAGCGUAUAUUAAAGUUGUUGCAGUUAAAAAGCUCGUAGUUGAAUUUCGGGAUCAAUAUGCUGGUCGUACCAUUGGUAUGUACUAGUAUUAUUGGUUUCUCCCUCCUGAUGAAUCAUGAUGUCAUUAAUUUGAUGUCAUGGGGAAUCAGGACUGUUACUUUGAAAAAAUUAGAGUGUUUAAAGCAGGCUUGCGCUUGAAUACAUUAGCAUGGAAUAAUGAAAUAGGACGUUUGAUUCUAUUUUGUUGGUUUCUAGGAUUGACGUAAUGAUUAAUAGGGAUAGUUGGGUGCAUUAGUAUUCAAUUGUCAGAGGUGAAAUUCUUGGAUUUAUUGAAGACUAACUACUGCGAAAGCAUUUGCCAAGGAUGUUUUCAUUAAUCAAGAACGAAAGUUAGGGGAUCGAAGACGAUCAGAUACCGUCGUAGUCUUAACCAUAAACUAUGCCGACUAGGGAUCGGAUGAUGUUAAAUGACUCAUUCGGUGCCUUACG
rnacentral:rRNA from 1 species